rnacentral:rRNA from 1 species
GACGAACGCUGGCGGGCGUGCCUAACACAUGCAAGUCGAGGGGCAGCAGUGGUCUUAGCUUGCUAAGGCUGAUGGCGACCGGCGUAAGGGUGCGUAACGCGCAUGUACCUUGCCUUUGAGAGGGGGAUAACCCGGAGAAAUCCGGCCUAAUACCGCGUAUUCUCAAGUUGCUGCAUGGCAGUUUGAGGAAAGAUUUAUUGCUCAGAGAUAGGCAUGCGUUCCAUUAGGUAGUUGGUGAGGUAACGGCUCACCAAGCCGACGAUGGAUAGGGGAGCUGAGAGGCUGACCCCCCACACUGGGACGUGAGACACGGCCCACG